rnacentral:lncRNA from 1 species
GUUUGCUGCACCACUGAAUGUGAAUAUAGAAGUAACAGGUUGCUAGGUGUUCCUAGUCUCCCUCUGCUUUAACGACUGUUUGCUGCCCUGAAGUACAUUUCCUGUGGGGGGUGUCUUCUCUUGCACUCAUCCUGACUGUUGCAUCAGCCAGGGGCAGCAGCAGUCAUGCCUCUUGUCAACUGACUUGCACCAGCUUUUUUUCCCCAUGAUGCACUGCACCAAGGUACGCCAGCUAAUGUGUGUGUGUAGGGGAGAACCACAAAAAAACUUUAACUUUUUACUGAAGAUCCUUGGAUUCUGAAACGUAUUGAUAGAGGACAUCCUUCUCCACAUAAAUUGCACAGCUCUACAGUACAUCCCAAAAGCCUGAUGGGGAAGAAAGGAGUCAUAAAAUGAGUCCAUCCAUUGAAGUUAGCGUCUACCUGUUUAAAAACAAUACUAAAAUUGUUUAUCUUGAUGAGGUGUGAGGUCCAAAGUAUUAGUGUUUCACCAGCGGCACAGCUCAAGGUAGGCCAGUUUUCUCUACCG